UUCUCUCUACAAUAUAUUUAUUUUUCUUAACAAGUCUUCAUCGUUAGUUACUUCUUUUAGAAGUAAACUAAUAAAUAUCACAUAUAAAUUUUCAUUUUAAACAUUAAUUAAUUCGCAGACACCAAAAAAAGGACUGAAAAGGGCCUUAAUAUCAACAAUAAUUUCGUGAGACUUUGCAUAAACUAUUGUGUGUGUUUAAUUGUAUAUUAAAAUUCAAAAACUAUUGUGUUUGUAUAAUUAUAUAUUAAAAAAAAUGCAAUUGUGGCCUUGUGGGUCACAUGUGUCCUAGGGUGGAGUUCCUGUAGUUGCCUUUUUGUCAUUAUAUGCUUCGUAUUUUAUAUAAUUCUUAAUCUAUAUGACUACUUUUGUUGUUUAUUAUUUAUCUUCUGUGUUUUAAGUAAAACUAGUAUUAAGAACCCCCGCGUUGCGGCGGGGGCAAACACCAAUGUCACACUAUUAUCAACAACCACCAACACUGAAAUUACAGCAUGUUAAUGCGAAGAAAUUAAACCGACACGUAAAACAUGUAAAGAAAUAACUAAGUCGAUCUAGGACCCGAGCGUUACGAUGAACCUGUCAAACGGAAAAAAGAGACAACGUAAAAAGGUUUAACCACACACGCACGUUGCGUCGUGUUAAUUCGCAAAAUUAUUUAUAGUAUUUAAAUGAAAUAAAAAUUUGUCUUUGUGUUAAUGCGAAGAAAUUAAACCGAAAUGUAAAACAUAUAAAAAAUAACUAAGUCGAUUUAGGACCCCGAGCCUUACGAUGAACCUGUCAAACGAAAAAAAUAGACGACGUAAAAACGCUUAACCACACACGCACGUUGCGUCGUGUUAACUCGCAAAAUUAUUUAUAGUAUUUAAAUGAAAUUAAAGUUUGUCUUUAGUGGAUACAACCCACUAAGCAUUAUGUGUUGCAAAUUGUAUUUAUACGAAGGUGGAUAGACUAUCAAGUAUUAUGUACAACAAAUUAAACUAAUAGGAAAACAUCAUACAACAUAAUAAAGCUAUAAAACACAUGUUGAUGGUACAACAUGUAUUGCAAGAAAAUGAUACAAAUUAUAUUAUUAUUAUAUAAUAAUCUAUUAUAUCAAAUAACGUGAAAUUGUUUACACCGGAAAAUUAUAACAAAGUUAAACAAUGAUUAAGAGAUCCCACAUGUGUAAUGAAGUGAUGAUGCACUUUAUAAAGUGAGAAAUCAAUUUUUUUUUUGAAACACUCUCAAAGCCUAAUGUACAACCACUCAAAGCCAAAAAUUGUUGCUUAUUUAUAGGUUCUAAUUAUUUGACAACAGAGUUAAUAAAAAAUCAAAUAUCUUUUAUAUGAGAAACUUUUUAAUAUUGUUACAUAAACAACAAAUUAGUUACCUGCUCAUGUAGCACUAUUGGGUUGACUAUUUUUUUCAUGAUUUAUUAAUAUUAAUUAAUUAAUUGUGGUCACAUAAAUUAACUUUGAUAAGGAUUAUGUUCAUAUAAAUAUAUAGAAAAAGUGUAACGUAUAAGUAGGGCUUAUUGUACCCUCGUACGAUAAUGUGGAAUCGCACGUUAUAAAAAAAGCAUGUUGGAAAUCGCAUGUUGGUUUUUAAAGCAAUUUCACAUGUUGGUAUUUCAGCACAAAUCGCAUGUUGAAGAGUGAAUUCGCAUCAGAUCGUAUGGCUGAGAUGAUCGCGUACAUAUUGUACGAUAAGAGCCAUUGUACGUUAACCUAACCCUAAACAUAUAUGGAGAGAAAUUUAUAUUUAUAUUUAUAGUAUUAUAAUAAAUAAUCGAGUAAAUAAAGAAUAAAUUCUAGAAGCUAUUUUACCAUUUCAAAACACCACAAAAUAGCCGGUGGUGCACUUUGACUUUGAACAAAAAAACACAACAUACCUUCUAGAUAAACCGAGCCGUCGGAGUUGAACCCAAUCGAACCGGGAUAACUUCCGGGUAUCUUCAACGGAACCGGUCCACCACCUGCCAGCCCCACCGAUAACACAACAUUUACUUCCACUUUCCCCCCCUCAACUAUCUCCUUCCCUCCACUUCGCCCCCUCACAUUUCCACCAUCACUUUUCACAUGAACCAAAGACUCACCCGGAUUAUUAUUAUUCUCAAUCAACUUAAUCUUCUCCCCUUCCGAACUUAUCCUCAAGGGCAAAACCGUCAUUUCAUCUUCAUAUGUUGACAAAAUCGUAAUCUCAAAAUACGCUUCUUGUGGAAACGGAGUUGUAUUCAAAACUGGACCGGGUAACGGCAACGCGGACUUAAUAACAGAAACCGCAUUCAUCGUUAACCCGGUCGUUGGAACAACUUUCAUCAAACCGGAGUUAAGCCGGAUCUUUUGAACAAACUCGGUUGAC
rnacentral:lncRNA from 1 species